rnacentral:rRNA from 1 species
UUAAUUUCUUAAUUUCAUAUAAAAUUAAUAAUAAGUAAUAAUUGUAGAAUACUUAGGUUAAAAUGUUUGAUUUUGGCUUAAAUUCUUAUAUUAUAUUUGAAAUUGUAUGAAAAUUUAUGUAUGGAAGUAGAAAUUAAUUAUAUAUUAGUUUUUAUUGAGAUAAUUGAGAAAGUCGAUAAAAGGUUAAAUCUCAGCAUGGAAUAUUACGUGAAGUAUAUACAAAAGUAUGACGUAGUAAAUAUAAUAAAUCUGAUUAAUAUUUGUGCCAGCAUUCGCGGUUAUACUUUAAGGUUGAGUAAGAGUUUUAGGUUGUUAGUUAAAUGAAUUAAUUUAAAAGUAGUAUAAACAAUAGCAAGUGAAAUUGAUUAUUGAUGGUUAUAUAAUAUAUGUGAUAAAUUAAAUUUGAAGCUAAAAAGGUUCAAUUAAAAACUAGGAUUAGAUACCCUAUUAUUAGAAAAUGAAUAUAAAACACUUAAUUAGUUAGAGAUAAAUACUUAAAAUUUAAAAGAUUUGGCGGUAAUUUAAUCUUUUCAGAGGAACCUGUUUUUUAAUCGAUAAACCACGAAGAAUCUUACUUACUUUAGUUUUAGAUUGCGGGUUUGUAUACCAUCAUUAACAAAUAAUUUUAAAAGAAAAAAUUAUUUAAAAUAAUAGAUUAUAAAAAUUAGAUCAUGGUGCAGCUUAUAAGUAAGGUAAAAUGGGUUACAAUAAAUCUUUUUAUACGGAUUAAAAUAAAAUAAAAUUUAUUAUAAAGGAGGAUUUGAUUGUAUUGGAAGUUUAAUAAGCUUUAAAGAUAUAAGCUCUAAAUUAUGUACAUAUCGCCCGUCGCUUUCGUCUAUAAACGAAAUAAGUCGUAACAUAGUAGAUGUACUGGAAAGUGUAUCUAGAAUUGUGAAGAGAAAUAGUUAACUGGAGUUGGAGAAAUUUCUUUGA